AUUUCUUCAAUAGUAGACAAACAUGUUUUAGGUUGUAGGGUGGCGUGCUAUCUCACACCAUCCUGCUUAAUAUAGCGUAAAACAUCAGUUCUGAUAGCUUGAGUAUCGCUGAAGGGGUAUUUCGGGAAGGUGUGAGUAAAGGUAUUGGGGAAGGUGUGAGUAAAGGUAUUGGGGAAGGUGUGAGUAAAGGUAUUGGGGAAGGUGUGAGUAAAGGUAUUGGGGAAGGUGUGAGUAAAGGUAUUGGGGAAGGUGUGAGUAAAGGUAUUGGGGAAGGUUUUGAUCAAGGUAUUCGGGAAGGUGUGAGAAAAGGUAUUGGGCAAGGUGUAAGUAAAGGUAUUGGGGAAGGUGUGAUAAAGGUAUUGGGGAAGGU